UACAGAGGUCCCAAGCGUUGUUCGGAUUCACUGGGCGUAAAGGGCGCGUAGGCGGCCACCGCAAGUCAGUUGUGAAAUCUCUGGGCUUAACCCAGAAAGGUCAACUGAUACUGCGGGGCUAGAGUGCAGAAGGGGCAACUGAAUUCUCGGUGUAGCGGUGAAAUGCGUAGAUAUCAGGAGGAACACCGGUGGCGAAGGCGGGUCUCUGGGCAAUUCCUGACGCUGAGGCGCGAAAGCGUGGGGAGCAAACGGG
rnacentral:rRNA from 1 species